GGUAUGUACAACUCGCGAGGCAUCAAAAGAGGGCCCGCUCCUCAAUGUCUGUCUUAAGUAGUGAAUAAACAGAAGAAACUCAAGCAGCUUGGUCGUUGGCCGAAUCCUGGAGAUUCUGCUCUUGAGGACGCGCCUGCUCCUCGGCCGCCUGACGGAGAGAGGCUUCUUUGGCCAGAGCAGCCUCAACCUCAGCCUUCUUAGUGGCAAUCAACUCCGGCUGCUCAGCCUUAAACUCCUCCACCCACUGGGCCAUUUCAGAGCCGAAGUGAGA
rnacentral:lncRNA from 1 species